ensembl:lncRNA
GAAAAGUUCAUGUUUUAGUGACGUAUAUGCAGCGCCAAGCUCAGAAUGCCGUUGGCUGUCUGAGUGGAGCCUACAGAAUAAAGUGCCAUAAAAGAACGUCAGAGUCCUGUCUUCAGUGCACUGGAACACAACGCAGUAGUCGGCGAUAUGCAGACCGCGCCGGCUACAUUGGUGCCGUGACCCGGAUCUCAUCGCUUCAGAUCAUCGCCAGGGUUAUCGCCGGAGGUUGCAGUAACGAGUAGGAACCUCCUCGGGACGUUGACUAGUACUUUUAUUUUAUUUUUCUACUGUUAUUUAAUGUGUAAAUUGUAAUUCUUAAUUGCCUCUAUCUCACCUAGUAUAAUUUUACGUUGUGUUUUUCUUUUGCUUUCUCGAUAUUUGCG